rnacentral:rRNA from 1 species
UACGGAAGGCAGCAGUGGGGAAUAUUGCACAAUGGGCGAAAGCCUGAUGCAGCUAUGCCGCGUGUAUGAAGAAGGCCUUAGGGUUGUAAAGUACUUUCAUCGGGGAGGAAAAAACAAAACUAAUAAUUUUAUUUCUUGACGUUACCCGAAAAAGAAGCACCGGCUAACUCCGUGCCAGCAGCCGCGGUAAUACGGAGGGUGCUAGCGUUAAUCAGAAUUACUGGGCGUAAAGAGCACGUAGGUGGUUUUUUUAAGUCAGAUGUGAAAUCCCUGGGCUUAACCUAGGAACUGCAUUUUGAAACUGAAAUACUGAGUAUCGUAGAGGGAGGUAGAAUUCUAGGUGUAGCGGUGAAAUGCGUAGAUAUCUGGAGGAAUACCUGUGGCGAAAGCGGCCUCCUAAACGAAUACUGACACUGAGGUGCGAAAGCGUGGGGAGCAAACAGGGAUUAGAUACCCGU